rnacentral:rRNA from 1 species
UACGUAGGGUGCGAGCGUUAAUCGGAAUUACUGGGCGUAAAGCGUGCGCAGGCGGUUUUGUAAGCCAGAUGUGAAAUCCCCGGGCUCAACCUGGGAAUGGCAUUUGGGACUGCAAGGCUUGAGUGCGGCAGAGGAGACUGGAAUUCCUGGUGUAGCAGUGAAAUGCGUAGAUAUCGCUUGGAACGCCAACGGUGAAAACAGGUUGCUGGGGGUGUGCUGACGCUGAGACACGAAAGCCAGGGGAGCGAACGGG